rnacentral:rRNA from 1 species
UACAGAGGGUGCGAGCGUUAAUCGGAAUUACUGGGCGUAAAGCGUGCGCAGGCGGUUUUGUAAGCCAGAUGUGAAAUCCCCGGGCUCAACCUGGGAAUGGCAUUUGGGACUGCAAGGCUGGAGUACGGCAGAGGAGACUGGAAUUCCUGGUGUAGCAGCGAAAUGCGUAGAUAUCAGGAGGAAUACCGAUGGCGAAGGCAGGUCUCUGGGCUGAUACUGACGCUCAUGCACGAAAGCGUGGGGAGCAAACAGG